ensembl:snRNA U6 U6 spliceosomal RNA
GUGCUGACUCAGCUGCACAUAUUCUCACAUUGGAAUAAUACAGAGAAGAUUAACAUGGUCCUUGAAUAAGGAUGGCAUGCAAAUUUGUGAAGCAUUCCAUGCUUAU